GACGAACGCUGGCGGCGUGCUUAACACAUGCAAGUCGAACGGUAAGGCCCUUCGGGGUACACGAGUGGCGAACGGGUGAGUAACACGUGGGUGAUCUGCCCUGCACUUCGGGAUAAGCCUGGGAAACUGGGUCUAAUACCGGAUAGGACUCCGGACUGCAUGGUCUGGGGUGGAAAGCUUUUGCGGUGUGGGAUGGGCCCGCGGCCUAUCAGCUUGUUGGUGGGGUGAUGGCCUACCAAGGCGACGACGGGUAGCCGGCCUGAGAGGGUGACCGGCCACGCUGGGACUGAGAUACGGCCCAGACUCCUACGGGAGGCAGCAGUGGGGAAUAUUGCACAAUGGGCGCAAGCCUGAUGCAGCGACGCCGCGUGAGGGAUGACGGCCUUCGGGCUGUAAACCUCUUUCAGCAUCGACGAAGCGAAAGUGACGGUAGGUGCAGAAGAAGGACCGGCCAACUACGUGCCAGCCGCCGCUGUAA
rnacentral:rRNA from 1 species